rnacentral:rRNA from 1 species
GUCGAAUGCCGAUUUAUCGGCAUGGCAGACGGCUGAGUAAUACAUGGGAAUCUACCUCAAACUCGAGAAUAGCCCAUCGAAAGGUGGUGUAAUACUCGAUAGUUCCGUUUACGGUAAAGCUCCGGCGGUUUGAGAUGAGCCCAUGUCCUAUCAGGUUGUUGGUAGGGUAAUUGCCUACCAAGCCUAUGACGGGUAGCUGGUUUGAGAGGAUGAUCAGCCAGACUGGGACUGCGAUACGGCCCAGACUCCUACGGGAGGCAGCAACUAGGAAUCAUGCGCAAUGGACGAAAGUCUGACGCUGCGACGUCGCGUGAGGGAUGAAGGUCUUCGGAUCGUAAACCUCUUUUAUCUGGGAACAAGUUCUGAGUGUACCAGAUGAAUAAGUGCCUGCCAACCACGUGCCAGAAGCAUCGGUAAUGCGUGGGGCACGAGCGUUAUCCGGAUUUACUGGGCGUAAAGAGAUGCGUAGGCGCCUUUUUAAGUCACUUGUAAAAUCUCCCCGCUCAACGGGGAAACUGCAAGUGAUACUGAAUUGGUUGAGUCAAGUAGAGGAGAGGGGAAUUCCUGGUGGAGCGGUUAAAUGCGUUGAUAUCAGGAGGAAUACCAAGUGCGAAGGCACCUCUCUGGACUUGUACUGACGCUAAGGCUCGAAAGUGUGGGGAGCAAAACGGAUUAGAUACCCGUGUAGUCCACACUGUAAACGAUCCCUGCUAG